rnacentral:rRNA from 1 species
AUUGAACGCUGGCGGCAUGCCUUACACAUGCAAGUCGAACGGUAACGCGGGGCAACCUGGCGACGAGUGGCGAACGGGUGAGUAAAGCAUCGGGACGUGCCCAGUAGUGGGGGAUAGCCCGGCGAAAGCCGGAUUAAUACCGCAUACGACCUACGGGUGAAAGCGGGGGACCGUAAGGCCUCGCGCUAUUGGAGCGGCCGAUGUCAGAUUAGGUAGUUGGCGGGGUAAAGGCCUACCUAGCCGACGAUCUGUAGCUGGUCCGAGAGGACGACCAGCCACACAGGAACUGAGACACGGCCCAGACUCCUACGGGAGGCGGCGGUGGGGAAUUUUGGACAAUGGGGGCAACCCUGAUCCAGCCAUGCCGCGUGCGGGAAGAAGACCUUCGGGUUGGAAACCGCUUUUGUCAGGGAAGAAACGCGCUGAGCUAAUACCUCGGCGUAAUGACGGUACCUGAAGAAUAAGCACCGGCUAACUACGUGCCAGCCGCCGCAGUAACAC